GCAUUCUGUAAAGAACUGAUCCAAGGACGUAUGCUUCUUCAUUCGUCAAAUGGAUCUCUUGGUGGGAGGCGCUGACAUGGACGAGAGGUACUGUGAGAGUUGAGAUGGAGUUGUUGGUGAUGCUUCCAGGCUUGACGCCAAAACAGACAGAGAGCCAGUGAGGAAGGAUACAGAGUACAAAAACAUCAUCGCUCUUAUCCAGCCCGGCUCUGACUCCCAUUUAAUCUCAAUGGACCGAAGACGAACAUUGGUCCGUCUGAACAAGUUGAACGAGCCAAAGACAUCUGUAGCAAUCCACGCACAUAACUACCUUUAAUAAUCACCAUCCCUAAAAGUACAAAGUCACCACUGUCUCGGAUUGCUUGCUGUGAUGGGGGAGAUGAGCUGCUUUACAGAUCUCCAACCUUAUGAAGGUCAUAUUAAGGUCAAUUUCAACACUGCCUGAGUUUUGUGGCACGAGCUGACUUGUAAGUAGAUUUGAAAUACCAAAAUUGCACAAGCGUGACAAGGCAGAUGGGUUUUUUGUUGUUGUUUUUAUCUGACAUAUUCAUCAAACUCUUAAUUAAUCAUUGCCUUUUUUGAAGCUACUUUUAGCCAUCACUGUGUGCUGCAUCAUUGUAAGUUUUGAACAUAACCAGCAAAAAAAUAACAAAAGAUAAACAGACAUGCUAACGUUAGCUAACACUGGACACUGAAAUCUAAUUCCGCAGUCUGCCGCAACGGUCGGUUUUCUUGAUCCCUUUUGUCUCCUCUCAAAUCAGAUGGCUAACAGUGUCGGUCACAUGCCAAGCAGUAAACACAAGAGACUUUCGCAAAGCAUUGUUGUUGUCGUCGUUUCUUUAGCAUGUCUCAUAUCGACUGAUACCUUCAAUGUAACGCAGUUUUGACACUUUGCUGCUGUGUCACUUGACAGGGAAUCAGGAGGUGUUUUUUUUUUUUUUUAACCCUUUGAAACGGAGAGCCGGUCAGGGGUUAUUUUAGUCUUGGGGCUAAACAAGAUUUGACACACAACAAACCAAGCCUUGUUCUUCACUGUGGCAAAAUGUCCGAACAUUUCCAAGUCAGUUCAGUUGCACAUCAACAGUCACACAUUUUUUUGUAAAUCCCAGGCAAGGGUUGACUUACAACUAGAGAAUUUUGAGAGUUUCAAGAAUUUUAGGCGUUUCCUGGUGUUCACAGCCUCUCUGACACGAAAGACUCAAACACAUGCAAAAGAUGACACACGCCACACUACAUGACACACAGUACUUAAAAAGUUCUCUAUAUAUAUUUUUUUUUAACAACAGAGAGGACCGAAUGUGACAUCCGCUUUAGUGAGCCUAGCUUGAUUUAGCGCACUUAUUCUUUACAGUCAGUAGCUUCUGCAAAUGUUUUUGUUGUGAACAUUAUUCGCGUUACAUUGAAUUACGAAUGUCGUAAUUUGAUGAAAUAGGAGAUCAGUCGAGGCAACAUGUGGGCGCCUUGUUAAUUUUGGAGGGCAACCUAGCUGAGUUCAACUGUGAGGUUAAACUGUGAAUGAAUCACCGGACUCGUUAGCAGCGACAUGGCGUUCAGCUGUGAAUGUGUCACAUCUAUUGUUUGCGGAACGAUCCCGCUCCCGCUGAAGUCAGCAGAUCGGCAGCGAUGCGCACUGAUGCGGCAUCUCAUUGGACAUUUCCAUGAACCCAUUCACCGUCACACCAAGGAGCUACAAAGCAGCUCAUUGAGAUCGUGACUGCGGUGAGCCGACCGUUCAUUUCAGCGAACGCACAUCUGCUGCUGAUCACGCAGGCAGACAACACACAGACGGACACCGCAUCGGUUAUGUCAUGUCUUCACAUGUUUUAAAUGAGUUUGAUCUUUACAAAGGAUAAAUCGGCUCAGG